rnacentral:rRNA from 1 species
AACGAACGCUGGCGGCAGGCCUAACACAUGCAAGUCGAACGCCCCGCAAGGGGAGUGGCAGACGGGUGAGUAACGCGUGGGAAUCUACCCAGUGGUACGGAACAACCAGGAGAAAUUCUGGCUAAUACCGUAUACGUCCUUCGGGAGAAAGAUUUAUCGCCAUUGGAUGAGCCCGCGUCGGAUUAGCUAGUUGGUAAGGUAAUGGCUUACCAAGGCUACGAUCCGUAGCUGGUCUGAGAGGAUGAUCAGCCACAUUGGGACUGAGACACGGCCCAAACUCCUACGGGAGGCAGCAGUGGGGAAUAUUGGACAAUGGGCGAAAGCCUGAUCCAGCCAUGCCGCGUGAGUGAUGAAGGCCCUAGGGUGUAAAGCUCUUUCAGCGGGGAAGAUAAUGACGGUACCCGCAGAAGAAGCCCCGGCUAACUUCGUGCCAGCCGCCGCGGUAAGAC